CGCAUACCCGGGGAUAGCCUUGCGAAAGCAAGAUUAAUACCCGAUGUUCUCACUGUUCCGCAUGUUACGGUGAGCAAAGAAUUUCGGUAUGCGAUGGCGAUGCGUCCCAUUAGCUAGUUGGCGGGGUAACGGCCCACCAAGGCUCCGAUGGGUAGGGGUUCUGAGAGGAAGGUCCCCCACACUGGAACUGAGACACGGUCCAGACUCCUACGGGAGGCAGCAGUGAGGAAUAUUGGUCAAUGGACGCAAGUCUGAACCAGCCAAGUAGCGUGCAGGAUGACGGCCCUCCGGGUUGUAAACUGCUUUUAGUUGGGAAUAAAAGGGGGCUCGUGAGCCCCGUAUUGUAUGUACCAUCAGAAAAGGGACCGGCUAAUUCCGUGCCAGCAGCCGCGGUAAUACGGAAGGUCCGGGCGUUAUCCGGAUUUAUUGGGUUUAAAGGGAGCGUAGGCCGGCUUUUAAGUCAGCUGUGAAAGUCCGCGGCUCAACCGUGGAAUUGCAGUUGAAACUGGAGGCCUUGAGUGCACACAGGGAUGCCGGAAUUCAUGGUGUAGCGGUGAAAUGCUUAGAUAUCAUGAAGAACUCCGAUCGCGAAGGCAAGUGUCCGGGGUGCAACUGACGCUGAGGCUCGAAAGUGCGGGUAUCAAACAGGAUUAGAUACCCUGGUAGACCGCACCGUAAACGAU
rnacentral:rRNA from 1 species